UGGGGAAUAUUGGACAAUGGAGGGAACUCUGAUCCAGCAAUUCUGUGUGUGUGAAGAAGGUUUUAGGACUGUAAAACACUUUGAGUAGGGAAGAAAAAAAUGACGGUACCUACAGAAGAAGCAACGGCUAAAUACGUGCCAGCAGCCGCGGUAAUACGUAUGUUGCGAGCGUUAUCCGGAAUUAUUGGGCUUAAAGGGCAUCUAGGCGGUAAGACAAGUUGAAGGUGAAAACCUGUGGCUCAACCAUAGGCUUGCCUACAAAACUGUUGAACUAGAGUACUGGAAAGGUGGGUGGAACUACACGAGUAGAGGUGAAAUUCGUAGAUAUGUGUAGGAAUGCCGAUGAUGAAGAUAACUCACUGGACAGAAACUGACGCUGAAGUGCGAAAGCUAGGGGAGCAAACAGG
rnacentral:rRNA from 1 species